rnacentral:rRNA from 1 species
CCUACGGGUGGCUGCAGUAGGGAAUAUUGCACAAUGGGCGAAAGCCUGAUGCAGCAACGCCGCGUGCGCGAAGAAGGCCUUCGGGUCGUAAAGCGCUUUUCUGAGAGAUGAGAAAGGACAGUAUCUCAGGAAUAAGUCUCGGCUAACUACGUGCCAGCAGCCGCGGUAAAACGUAGGAGGCAAGCGUUAUCCGGAUUCACUGGGCGUAAAGCGCGUGCAGGCGGUUCGGUAAGUUGGGCGUGAAAUCUCCUGGCUAAACUGGGAGAGGUCGUCCAAUACUACCGGACUAGAGAGCAGUAGAGGAAGAUGGAAUUCCCGGUGUAGGGGUAAAAUGCGUAGAUAUCGGGAGGACCACCAGUGGCGAAGGCGGUCUUCUGGACUGUUUCUG